AAAUUAACUAAUAGUAGGUAGUAUACAGUUUGAGUAUUCGAACACAGCUACAGUCUUUAUACCGAGAUACAGUACGCCCAAAUAUAUAUUUUUUAUAACUAGCUCAUUGUUCUUUCUGUUGUAGGCCUACAGACUGGAACGCGCCCAUUUUCAAGUCUGCGCAGUCGCAAUGACGAAGGCAUCGGAGAAACAGCGCCAUUUUUGCUUAGCUAGCGCCUCUGUCGGUGUCUGGCAUUGUGUUAGAAAUCUGAGUAAAAAUUACUUGCAAUAAUGAGGGUAAUUGUGAAAUUUUGGGGGGAAUAAGCCCAUAUAGUGCGCCGUUUGCACAAGGUGCAUUUGACCAGCUCAAGAUGUCCUCAGAGAUGCUCAGCGUUCCUCCUGGCACGAGCAAGCUCGAUGUGUUGGUGACCAAACUGCAUGAAUUCUUGGCUCAUGCUCCAGAGGAUGAUGAGGACAGACUGGUGACAGAAAGUCCUGAUGGUAUGACAAACAAGGACUGUGUGGAGCCACACUCAACAGACCGAACCCCUCUUGAGGUAUUAUGA
rnacentral:lncRNA from 1 species